rnacentral:rRNA from 1 species
AUGCGGCUGGGGCAGGGGAGGAGCUUGGGUGUGUUGGAGGAGGUCCUGCUGGAGGUGGUCGCCGGCGACGUUUGGGAGUCCCGGCGAGCCGCCGCUCGUCGCCUGCAGCGACGGGAACGGAGGAGAGGUGAUGCUCGGGCAGAGGAGGCCCUGUGCACGGGCGCGCUGGACCACGGGCGCAAGAAAGCUUCAGAUCGGGAGCUCCUCUGCCGAUCGGAUUUGGAGGAGGAGGCACCGGCGAGGUGGAUCGAAUGGGGUGCUGGUUGCGGGAGCUCGAGGAUUGAGGAAAGAGGAGGCCGAUAG